UUCCUGUUUUCGAAGGUGUUCUAGAAAGAGUUCUGUUCAAAACCGGAAAGAUCCGGUAUUAAAGUAAAUCAGUAUUAAGACAGUUUGACAAGAUGAAGGACCUAAAACUGUUGAUUGUUUUCUUGGUAGUUUAUGUGACAUUUAUUGGAGGAGGAGCUGAAGCCCGACACGUGGAGAAAGGUGCCAACGCAACCUAUCCGAAUGAAGAAGUACCGAAACCAACUGAACCAGACGGAUCCCAAUCUACUUUCCAUGAAGGAAGGAUAGCCAUUACAGUUGGGUGUGUUGUGGUAAUUUCCGUUGUGAUUGGCUUCAUGUUCCUGUGGGUGUUUGGUGACUAUAUCUAUCGAAAACUGAAGACUUGGUUUCAACCACCUGUGUAUGUGUAAAAGUUUUUAAACUGAUGCAUACGACAAAAACGACAAUUGGAAUGGAUAUGGAAAAGGAUUUCUUACAGUGAAACCCAUGCUUGGACAAGAUACCCUAUGGAAUGUUAUGCUAUUUAUUAUUAUAACAAAUCGUUCAAAUAGAUUGUGUACAUAUUGUGUGUUUCACAACAUAUCUUAGUUUUGACUCAUUUCAAAUAACAUUUUGCAUUUUUAUUAAGAAAUAAUUCCCUUUCCUUUCCUUGAGUUUUGCCUUUGCAUCAAAAAACAACAUUUAACUUAAAAGUCUCAAUUUCAAUUUGUGGAUGAAAAUUGUUUUUUUUUUCAACCAGUUGUUAGAUCCAAAAAUACAUAUUCAUUUAAAUGUUAUGAACAAUGUUGAAUAAUAAAGACGAUUAAGAAAUCCUUGGUGUUAUAGGAAAUGAAACACACAAAUAUUAAUUCUCAUUUAAUUAGGAUAAAAAUGUGCAAAUUUGUACAAUGUUUAACUAAUUUUAUAGAAAGAUUGUAUUAUUCUCAAAUAGUCACAAUGAUAUUGUUAUAAAAAUAGCUUCCUCGUUGGUAUCCAGGUGUACUUCAUGUUGCUUCAAAUAAUAAAGAGGGUUGGAGACCAAUGGUCAAUAAUCGGAUAAUAUUAUAAAAGGAACUCUUUUUAAUACAGCUCCCGGUCGUAAUUCCUCGCGACCUAUGUUUUGGUAAAAGUCGUGUUAUAUUUAAAUUCUUAAAUGUUUUUGGGCUUAAUAGACAUUAUUUUUUAUAAAAUUCAAGAAAAAUAUUUUUAUUUAGCAAAAUCAUGAUAAAAUAACUAUUGCGGCUUAAUGUAAUACCCUUAAGAACUUUCUAGAAAUUUGGGCCCGAUCUCCAUCACAUCACACAAGCUAGCCCCCUGAAUUCAACAAUUUUUGAGUGACGCCAUAUGUCGUGUUAAUUAAUAUCGAGUUUGACGUAUAUAAAAAGGCAAAAUACAGUUACAUUAUUUAGAACGUUUUCUUUGUUUUGAGUGCAAUGCUUUUAACUGAUCAUUUUAAUUGACCUAGAUUUGGAGCACUAAACCCACUUUUUGAAGCAACUAUAAGGUGUUUGAUGACAUUUGUUUUAUUAUUUUGGUUCACAAUAAUUCAUAUUUGAUAAAAUAUUGUUUUUUUGUGGAUAAAAAGAAUAAAACAGAGUAAUCACAACAUACUGUAUAUAAACGUACUUAUCAAGCAUGGACUACUGUACUGAAUAUUUUAUAAAAUCAUUUUGUCAGAUUGUAUUUUCUGUAAUGUACAAAGGAUAUAUCCCGUACAUGUGUAAAUAACUUUAGUUAUGUAGUUGAUUGAUAUGUGUGUGUUCGUUUGUACGUGUUUUGCAUAUUAACCUUUUUUAGAACUGUAAAAAAUGACACAUAAUCAUGUAUGAAAGUUGUGCUCCAUUCAUCUUAAAAGAAGUUUCUUUUUAUUUUGUAUUUUCAACCUUGUUAAAGUAAAGAGUGUAAUAAACAAAUCAAUCAUAUUUCAACGCAUAUAGCAGAGUAUGUAACAGAGUGUUGUUGUUGUUGUUGUUGUUUUCUCUUUUUUUAUUACUUGUCUGUGUCGUUUGAUUUGAAUUCCUGCUUAAUAAAUCAUGCAGAAAAUGUA